UUUGACCAAACCAAACCAUGUAAAGGCAGACAUAUCCACAAUGAAAUUUAGAUAGACUAGGAAUUUCAUCUAUACAUAUAGAAAACUAACUAUCCUAUUUAAUGACUUCAAGCAUAGAGAGAAAAUGUAGAAGACAAGCCAUUUCUAGUUCCACUUACUGGCAUUGGGUGAAAAUAUGCAAUGAUGCAUUAACAGCUCUUUAAAAGAUCUUUUACCUCUCAAGGAGAAAUAGUGGAUGUCUAUGUGCAGGUUUAAUCACAAAGGCUUGAACCCUUCACAGAUGUGGAUAAAUGAGUGCAAAUGAACAAAUAAAGAAAGAUGUAUUCAGACCUUGCUUAGAAGAGCCACAUAUUCAGAAAUGGAAAACUUGGUGUUUCAAUAUAUGUUCUGAUGACACAAGUAGCAAGACACACCAGAAGUUUAUUUACAGUUUAAAAGUAGCUACUUAACAAUAUAUUUGUGGUUAGGCACAGAUUAAAAGUAGCUACUUCCCUUCAUUGCUCUUUGACGAUGGGGUUGUGGCACAGAUUAUUUCAAUCAGCAAAGAUGGAUUGGGUUUCCCCAAGGAGCAUCUCUGACAUGUUAUCUAGUAAUUUUAAUGGUUUUGGAUCUUCCAAGAGAGGGAUUGUUUUAUGGCAAAACGCGUGCAUCGCGUUAAUGUGGGUGGUGUGGCGGGAAAGAAAUGCAAGGAUUUUUGAGGACAAAGCAAGGAAUUCUGAGUAUCUUUGGGAUUCUAUUUGUUUUCUUACUUCUUUUUGGGUUUUUUGUUCUAAGGUUUUUAAGGGGAUUCCUCUUAACAUAUUACAACUUGAUUGGUUAGCGGCGUGUAACUAGAGUGUCUACUUUUCUCUUUUUGUACUUUCUUAUAUUUGAUUACUUGUAGUCUUGUUUCUCUUUGUUGGGAGGAUUCCUCAUCCUUCUAAUUAUACCUUCUUUUUAUCAAUAUAUUCCUUUGUCGUUUCCUAUCAAAAAAAAAAAAAAUACUUGUGGUUAGGCUUUACCAGAUAAGUUGUGACUAAAUUCUAGGAAAUAAAAA
rnacentral:lncRNA from 1 species